rnacentral:rRNA from 1 species
UACGAAGGGUGCAAACGUUGCUCGGAAUUAUUGGGCGUAAAGCGCACGUAGGCGGCCAACUAAGUCAGACGUGAAAUCCCCAGGCUCAACCUGGGAACUGCGUCUGAUACUGGAUGGCUUGAAUCCGGGAGAGGGAUGCGGAAUUCCAGGUGUAGCGGUGAAAUGCGUAGAUAUCUGGAGGAACACCGGUGGCGAAGGCGGCAUCCUGGACCGGUAUUGACGCUGAGUGAGCGAAAGCCAGGGGAGCAAACGGG